rnacentral:lncRNA from 1 species
CCGCCUCUUUGCGUUUAUCUGCUCUCUUUGUUCGUCCGUCAAUUUUUUUUUAGCCCAACUGGAGGUAUCUGCCUUGUUUCCUUGGUGUUAUUCAAGACAGCUUCUUGUGUCAUAUUAGUUGGGUUAGCUAUUUGAACAAAGGAAACAAUCCAUCUUACUAAAAAGACAGUACCCAUGUACAAUGCUAACUCAUUAGGUUGAAACUUAAAAUAGAUAAGAAGGCUACCUGAUAUCGUAAGGGGAUCCACAUUUUCAUCUUGAUUAAGGGUACAUGAUAAUGACAACGAUGCAUCAUAACAAGCUUGCAUGUUUGAGG